GCCACCAUCAAUGCAGCAACCACCAUCUCCCUUGGGCCACCACCACGUUGGCCACUGCGAAAGCUUCCUCGUUCCUUUCUCUCGUGCAACCACGAAUCUGAAACAACAAACCAUACCCAAAUCACAACCACUAAUAACCUCGUUCCAUAGCCAUCAUGGCUAAUUCUCUUCUCCUCAAGAUCUGCAAGAAUGAGAGAAACCUUCCUUCAAACCUCCAUGGUCAUGGCUCAACCUGCAAGAAACCACC
rnacentral:lncRNA from 1 species